rnacentral:rRNA from 1 species
GACGAACGCUGGCGGCGUGCCUAAUACAUGCAAGUUGAGCGCUGAAGGUUGGUACUUGUACCAACUGGAUGAGCAGCGAACGGGUGAGUAACGCGUGGGGAAUCUGCCUUUGAGCGGGGGACAACAUUUGGAAACGAAUGCUAAUACCGCAUAAAAACUUUAAACACAAGUUUUAAGUUUGAAAGAUGCAAUUGCAUCACUCAAAGAUGAUCCCGCGUGGUAUUAGCUAGUUGGUGAGGUAAAGGCUCACCAAGGCGAUGAUACAUAGCCGACCUGAGAGGGUGAUCGGCCACAUUGGGACUGAGACACGGCCCAAACUCCUACGGGAGGCAGCAGUAGGGAAUCUUCGGCAAUGGACGAAAGUCUGACCGAGCAACGCCGCGUGAGUGAAGAAGGUUUUCGGAUCGUAAAACUCUGUUGGUAGAGAAGAACGUUGGUGAGAGUGGAAAGCUCAUCAAGUGACGGUAACUACCCAGAAAGGGACGGCUAACUACGUG